rnacentral:rRNA from 1 species
GACGAACGCUGGCGGCGCGCUUAACACAUGCAAGUCGAGCGAGAACCAGGCCUUCGGGCCUGGGGACAGCGGCGAACGGGUGAGUAACACGUGGGUAAUCAACCCUCGGUACUGGGAUAGCCCGGGGAAACCCGGAUUAAUACCGGAUGGCCCUUCGGAUCUUCGGUUCUGAAGGAAAAGGUAGCUUCGGCCUCCGACCGAGGACGAGCCCGCGGCGGAUUAGCUUGUUGGUGGGGUAACGGCCUACCAAGGCGGCGAUCCGUAGCUGGUCUGAGAGGACGAUCAGCCACACUGGGACGGAGACACGGCCCAGACUCCUACGGGAGGCAGCAGUGGGGAAUCUUGCGCUAAUGCGGGAAACCGUGACGCAGCGACGCCGCGUGAGGGAAGAAGGCCUUCGGGUUGUAAACCUCUUUCAGGAGGGACGAAGCUACUCGGGUUAAUAGCCUAGAGGGUGACGGUGCCUCCAGAAGAAGCCCCGGCUAACUACGUGCCAGCCGCCGCCGUAAAAC